rnacentral:rRNA from 1 species
UACGUAGGGGGCAAGCGUUGUCCGGAAUCAUUGGGCGUAAAGAGCGCGUAGGCGGCCCUGUAAGUCCGCUGUGAAAGUCGGGGGCUCAACCCUCGAAUGCCGGUGGAUACUGUCGGACUAGAGUACGGAAGAGGCGAGUGGAAUUCCUGGUGUAGCGGUGAAAUGCGCAGAUAUCAGGAGGAACACCAAUUGCGAAGGCGGCCAUCUGGACGGUGACUGACGCUGAGACGCGAAAGCGUGGGGAGCAAACAGG